GAGAAAACCCCAGAAAGGGAGGCGUAACAGACCUUACUUUCCUUCGCACGGUUGGGGAAAAUGAGGCUUUCUUCCCCCAAGUAAGGUUUACUCAUCAAAAUUACAUUCUCUGGUUGCUGGUGUUGUGAGAGACGAAUAUUCACAAGAAUUCCUGGAAAGCAACCGUGUCUGCAAAGACUGAUUGGAAGUGCCGUAAGUUGGAGAGAGAGGAAUGUUGCCGGAGGUUCGCCUUAGCUCAGCUCGCUCUAAGCCCCCUGAACAGCCAUUCCUUGAGCAGACCCUAGCUGCCCAACCCAAAAGCAAUCAUCAGAUAACACCUGACUCCUGUAGCAAAGCUUCCGCCAUCUUGCUGUAACUGUCUCUGCGAUGCACCCACAAAGGUAUUUUAAGCUUGGCUUGAUUUAUGACUUUGUUCCGUGAAAAUUUAAAACUUUGUAAAGCUACUUCCACAUUGGAACAUGCAGUUUAGGGUAACCUAAAUCUAUAUACCUGGGACAUGGUCACUCAAGUAUGGCUCAAAAAUAAACAAAAAAAAUUU